rnacentral:tRNA from 1 species
CAUUAAAUGACUGAAAAAGUAUUGAUCUCUUAAAUCAAAUUAUAGUAGCUUGUACUACUUUUAAUGA